ensembl:lncRNA
CUCUGGAGCUCUGUGUAUGUCUGAUGCUGUCUGAAGGUGUAAAGAAGAGUAAAGCUUCCUCAUCUACUUGUCUUCCUCUGAAAUUCCUUUGUUACUGCCCUUUCUUCUAGAACUACAAACACAAAUGCCUACGUCUUUUUGUUCCCCAGGAUUCCAAUCUUGGAGAUUUAAUCAAAUAACAAACUCCAAGGCUCCAUUUCUUUUCUAUCUGUGCAUGAGAACACACUCUUCUGGAGAACUUAAACUUUAGCCUUUAUAGAAAUAUUUUGCUAUGGUUAUUUAAAAACUGGAAAGUACAGUUAUAUUGGACUUUCCCUAAUCAAACACAAACCAGAGAUAUGAAAUGAAAUGGAACAUCAAGGAGGUGGAAAUAUGGGCACAGAAACAAAGAGGACAUCAGCAGAGUUUCACUUCCUCUUCAUCUUUAUUUAAAAUGAGAAAUAAUUAUCCUCUCAUUUCUUUUAAACUGUUGAAAGCAUAAAUGUACUGCGCUAUAUUGAUAAACGGGAGAAUCUGAUCUGUCAAGCAGCUGUGCUUGCUCUCUUUUUCAGUUUGCAUGUUUGAGUAUCUGGCAAAAUGUAAGUAAACAGUAAUGAAGAGAAAUCUGGCAAGCUGGGCUUUGGUCAUUCCCCAUUCCUUGGUGUAUAUAUGUUGCAUUUUGUAGGGGUUCGAGUUUCACUUCCACAUCUGUGAAGGAGGAUGUUAUAUCAGACAGCUUGUAAAGAAUAAUAUGAACAUAUCCUUUAAAACAGAAAAGCUGGGCUAAAAUUACUGUGUAUUUUGUACUGCAGAUCAUAUAUGUCUGUAUGUACUGUGAGUCUCUCAGCUUCAAAGGAAGGUUGAUCUCUUUUGUUGUUGCAUCUAAGUGGAGAAUGCUACAAAAGCAGUUACACUGGCAUAUAGUUAAAUCAUGACUUUUCCUUCAGUCUGAUUUGUGACUGGAAAUCACUAGUGCAAGAUGGGAAGAUUUAAGUUGACAGCCUGGAUAUUGUACAGCAUUUUCAUCUGAAGCAGAGUGAACUCACCACAAAACGGUAACAUCUCUAAAGUUUGCACCAUCAUCUCAUCUGAAGCAUGAUGUACCAUAAAACACAUGGAGCAUUUCUGUCAAAAUUUUCAUGUAAACACUUGGAAUGAGACUGUACCUGGGCUCAGAAAUCUCCUCAUGUGGAAGAAGAAAAAGCAAAAAAAAUCUACUGCUGGAGCACUGACUGUGGCAAACAGAAGACACUGUGUAAUAGCUUCAGCUGCUCAGUGGUGUGGUGAUGAUAUCUUCUGUCUUAUUAUGGCUGCUUGGAUGCUUCAAAGAAAGAUCACCUUAAAGGUUUCUAAAACUGUAUCUUUUAUAGCAGAUGUGUGAAGGGAUGUGCAAAUCAAAGGGCUUCUGUCAUUUCUGGCUGAAGUCCAAACAUCUUGGAACAACUCAGCAGAGAGUUUGAAUUGCUCACUCCAUCAUCUAUAGUGGAAUAAGUCUAAUAAUCAGAAUUCUUCUGAAGUGAUCAAAAAUUUAUGCCUAGGCAGGCUUACAGUGUUAGAGAUGCAUACUAUGUAUUAGGAGUUAAAACAUCACAUUUGAGUAUUUCUGCCAAAAUUUUUGUCUGUUUCUGCUAUAAUUUCAGGAGAACUUGGUGGCAGCUAUUAAGGUUAGUGAGUUACUGUAAAUAAGUUGUUUGAGUACAUUUGCAUUGGAAGAAUAUUCAGUGAAAUUAGGGUCAGUGUUAUAGACAGUAGAACACUUUGGCAAAUCUAACAAGGAAUUUAAAAGUUAAUAAAGCAGAAAUGUAUGUAUCUCACCCUUAUGUCCCUAUAAUAAAUAAAUCUCAUCAUUUAAGAGAAAAUCUUCCAUUUGAACUAAAAGAAAUUGUAUUCAUUUGUUAAAGAAUUAUUGAUGUUUCUUGUGGAAAAACUGAUAACAAACUGGCAAGAGUUGCUGUAUUCAGAUAAAUCUUAGCCAAAUGUUUCUUUGACCAGUAUAUCCUUUCUACGGUUUGUGAAUGGCUUGACAGUCAAAGGCACAGUUUUCUUCCACUUCUCUUCAAAAAUAUUAUCUCUUUAUGUUCUUCAAAUAUCAAAGCACGGCUUUGUUGAAGUGGAGGAAAAUACUGCUUGCCUUGAUUGCAGCUGGGGAGAUCCUGACCAGAAAGGAAGAACAGAUAUUUGGCACAUAGCCUUUGAAAAUAUGAAAGGUGGGAACUGAGAGGAGGGCAGGCAGGCAGGUGGGAAAGGGCUGAGGCAUUAACAUCGCACUGCACAAGUGGAAGGAUGCUUCAUACCAAGCAGAACUUAACAGGAGGCUGCUGUGGUCUUUGCCUCCACUGUCCGUAGUAAAUUUGCACCUAGUGUGUAUUUUCUGUUACAUCAGCAUGCAAAUGUAAUGAACAAUAUUAAUAAGCUUCAAAGGUCAUCCUCCUCUCUACUUAUGACAAGAACUGUUUCAUCAAUUGUCCAUUCGGUUAUAGCAGCCUCCACAGAUUAUUCAGGCAAGGAAAAUAAUUUUUUUUUUCAUUUGUGUUUUUGGAUUUAUCUGCCCACUCCUCUGUCCAAGUUUCAUAACACACUGGGGCAAGAAUUCAACAUCUGAAUUACAGGAAAAUUAAGCAUGCAGUCCUGUUUUUGUUUCUGCUAUGUGUGUGUGGUUUUUUUUUUUAAUGUAAUGCAUAAUCACAUCAUUAAAUAAGAUUUGAUAGUAUUAAUGUCAGGCAUCCCCUAUGAGACCUUUUGCUUUUCAAGUUGCCUUCGAUACCAAUAAAAAUACUCUAGCAAACACUUGCUAAAAUGUAAUUUUCAUGUGCUUACUUCUGCAUUUCAAACCCAAACAUGACAAGCAGUUUCCUUUCAGCAUUAGUAUCUGUUCUGGGUUUAUUUACAAUCUGUUGAGAACAACAACAACAAAAAAUUCAGUGUGAGUUUCUUUAUCUUAAAUAGUGGACAACAGAGCUAAUAUCUAAAACUAUCUAUUAGCAUGUCAGUUGAAGUGAUAUCAUACUCCCCCAGAAUAGUAGGUCUACUUUGAACAAGACUGUGAUUUAUGAUUCAGAAUCUCAAUAACUAUCUUUCUAAGCCAGUAAAGAUGACAUCUGGGUAGAACAGAUCUAGACCUAUUCAAACCACAUAGAUUUUACUAUUUAUAAAUUCAAAUUAUCUGUUUUCAACAUUGAAAGAGUGUUUCAGAAUGACUAAAAGGAACUGAUCAAUAGUGUACAACAGGCUAACUUAACCACAGGCUUCAUUGGCAACAUGCAAGAGAGAAUUUCUAAAUGUAGCAAUUUAGAAAACUGGUGGUUAGCCUUUGUUCAUCUUGUAUUUGGUGUGAACUAGGAAAUAAACUCAGCUAAAUAUAAAUGAUAGCUCUUAUAUGGCAGUUCCCUAUAAAUUUUUUUAAUAUUAAUCAUUAUAUUCCUGUAAAAAAUAAGAACUGUAAAGGCACUUGAAUUUAGAUUUUUAGUUGAAGCUUUAAGAGCUGUGGGUUUUGUCACAUACAGAAUUAAAAAAGGCAACAGAAGUCUCCUUGCACGCUGGAAGUCAGCUUGAUUAAAACUGAAGCUGCAGAAGCCAAAAGGGCAAAACUUUCACUGACUUCAACUGUGAAGAGAAAAAUACCCAGGAAGAACUUUUCGAUGCUAUUGCAAAUAUGGCACAAAUGUAGGAAUUGCAUGACCUGAGAUCUGGCUUAGAUUAUUUGAGAGUUUUCUUUUUCCUCUGUUUUUUUACUUGACUACACCCCAGAAUUCCUGUUCAUCUCAUUUUAAUGUGCUUGCCACAGCGUUCUCCCCACCCCCCCUCCAAAAAAAAAAAAAAUACAAACUUUGGUGACGUGUACAGUGUGAUCAACUUCUGAAGUUUAAGUAGAAGUAGCAUUUCAUAAUAGGUGAACUGAAAAAACUUGCACUGAAUUUACUAAUACAAACUGUUGACUCAUUCUAUUAGCUUUGCAUGGGGCUUAGCUAUUGAAUCAAACUGCAUACGCCGCUGUGCUAAGAAGCUUGAAGUGUCUCGUUGACCAUUGCUUUUCAGGAGAGGGAAGCUGCCUCACUGAAAUCAACCACUGUCUUCAGUAAGGACAGAUUUUUCUUCUGGAAGAGUCAUAGUCAUUUCCAGAAGUGAUGAAUAAUGUAGUACUGUGAUACUUUUUUUUUUUUUUUUUUGUCAGUAAAUGGACACUUAGUGUACAUAAUUGUAUUUCCUUAGUAUUGUUUAUCUUAAGCUCAAGAUGUGUAAUUCAUUUAGUGUUUUAUAAAUUGUUCUUUUGAAAUUGUGCCAGAUAUUAGAACAAAAAUUGGAAUGACCAUAGUAUUAUUCUUUAAUAUGGAGCACACAUAUAAACAGAAAGAACUGACUUGAAAUAAUUCAGACUUAUUAUAAAUAAGCACUGAAAAGUGCAGAUGUGAAAAAUAUAACUAUAUGAUUAAUUAUCCAGAAAAAUAAAGUGAACGCAUGCUAUAAACAAAUUAAAUGCAAACUUGCUCAUAGAAAAAGCAUGUUUUCUCUGUCCAAAACUAGAUUUAAUUUCUACUGAUAAUUAGAAACUCUGCUAAUAAUAAUACUGAACACUAAAUAUUCCUAUAAAAUAUUUAAUUUAGGAUAAGAUUUGAAAUACAGGGAGCUGCAAAUACUUCUUAUUUCUUUUAGUAGCGUGUGCUUCAGCAGUUUUCAGAUAUGCUGUCUUCUAGAAUGCUAUAUCUUCUAGAUGGCACCAGCCUUGUGAUACUUCUGAUCUAUUUUGGUUUUGAAACCUUUCCAGGUUAUUUGGAGUAUUUACAUCUCUUGCACCAAAUGUAAAUGAACUUACUACAUGAUCAAAUUUCAUCAGAAUAAUAAAUUAUCCUAGUUUAUUCCUUAUGCUGUAAGCAUGCAUCCUUGAGACUUUCAAUGUGUAGUUUAUGGAAAAUACUGCUUUUAAUUAAAAAGAAAUUUAAUUACACCAAAGGUUCUGUGUGUCACGCUCAUUGAGUACUAGACCUUGUCACUAGGUUAAUGGUAAAAAUAGAAUAAGGUCAAUUAAAUGUUUAUAAGGUAGGUUUUUAUUUUAAAAGCCAAGUGAAUGUAAGUUUUUUUUAUUAUUCUCAGAAAUCUUGUUUGUUGCAUCAAUCCAAGGAUGCUAUGGUCAGUUCAUCGGUGCGUGUUCUGUGCACAACAUAUUGUAUCUCCUUUUCCUUCUUUGUAGGUUCGCUACUCAAGGAGACCUUUGAGUAACCAGUAAUUUAGUGCAUGUCUACCAACGUGAAAGAGGAUCUCAAACUACUUUAGGCACUCACUUUUGUUGUUUUUUUAUGUUCACAGUAAUAUCCAUAGAACAUGCUCAUUAUAAAUAAUAGAACGGUAUUGCGUAUUUUAUUUUAAUUACAAUCGUAUUUAU